rnacentral:lncRNA from 10 species
GCCAAGGGAGAGAAGGACCAUGGUAUCUGCCAGUCUCUCAGAAGAGUUUAUCUUUUAAAGUACAGAGUGAAAGAGUCUAGAAAGAAACAGGAUGUGCUGUUCCAGAAGUGUGUGCAAAAAUGCAGGAACAAAAGGAAGCAUGCAGUUCUGCAACGCGGGAUGAGCCUGAAAAAAUACUCACAGAUGUGAAUUUAAUUAUCAUUUGAAUAACCAGGAGAAACAGAGAUGGGGAGAAGUCACACAACUCCGUAAGAACAAGAAGUAAGUGAAGUGCUACGUCCAACUCCACGCGGAGAAAAGUGACAUAUCUCCAAUAGAAGCAACAAAGUCUGUAAAGAUUCCUAUUCCACAGCCAAUUAAUUCCCAUAACUAAGCAGAACACAUAUUUUCUCAUUCUGUCUCACAGAACUUGUUCAGGUUACUUUGCUGAAUGAAAUUUUUUUCCUCAAGACAUGGGGAUAAGAACUUCUUUAUGUGUGCAUUAUCAUAUAGGGCAUCUCCUGGCAUAAUAUUUAGUCUUCCCUAAAAAAUGGUAAAUUUGGUCUACUCUUAGGGUAUAGAAAUAAUUUACAUCUUUUUUCAGGAUAAUUUCCUGUCUUAAAAAUAUUAGAAUCCAGUUCAAACCCACAGCCCACCACCGUCACAGCAGCCUGCCUGGGUCAAGCAUUCUCGUAUAUUAUGCAGAUCCUCAGCGCUCAUGCCCCUGAGGCAGGGGUGGAAGCUGGUCCCCUGCUGGGGCUGACCACCUGCUUCUUUCUCUCUGGGUUAUUUUCCUUCAUGCUCCUUUGACUUCAGGAGAUGAGACGGUUCUUGAAUGAGGGAUGAGGUCUCGUUUACUCACGUGUCCUUGUCCUGUAUCUGGCACCAUGGUUGGUAUUCUAUAAAAGGAGACAGAAAAGAAAGGGCAGAAAGGAGACAAAAGAUGACAGGGAGAAGAGCAAAAGGAGAAAAAAGAAAGAAUGGAAAUAAGUGCAAGAAGGAAGAGAAGGUGGUGAGUGGAGGAGGCAUGGGCUGGGCCCCCGGAGGUUGUCUUGGGGACCUCCCAAUGUCCCAUUUCAUAGGUUGCCAGACCCUUUCACACGCUUAUUCCUUUCUAUAAUUUAAGAGUCAAAUCUCCCACCAUCUUUUAAGCAUCAGCGUCCUGUGGACCCAAGAGUGUCAGAGAAGAAGAAGAAUGAACCAUCCAAUGUACAUGAACCAUCCAAUGUACGUGAACCGUCCAAUGUACGUGAACCAUCCAAUGUACGUGAACCAAUGCGUGUGCAAGACUCUACUUUUCAAAGCAUGUUUUUCCCAUUGAGUCACGGGCCACCUUAACUUCCCACCAAAGUUCUCACCAAAUAAAAAUAUUCAUAGCAACCUUCAGGUACAAAUAUUACUACUAUCUUUUUGAAUUUUUAGGGAAGCAACCUGAUGAUCAGAGAGAUUUGCUUAGAGUCACUGAGCUUGUAAGGGCAGACCUGGGACCUUCACAGCAGAUUCUUCUGAUUAUAAAUCCUGAGACUCCACCUGUGGGGUGACUGCAGAAGGACCCCCAUAUUCCAUCGCCUACCCAGCAGCCUGCCAGAGUCAAGUGUUCUUGUGUGUUAUGGAGUUCCCCACCAUUCAUGCACCAGGGCUACUGGAAUUUGAACCAUGUUGGGAGGGGACUGGUCUUAUCCAAGUAGACUGUGGUGAUCAAUGUGUGCAGAAUAAAACUGUGCUAAGCAAGGACUGCCAGACAACUUGGCCCCAAGGGAACAGAUAUUAAAAAAAAAUCAGAGGCAACCCACUAGCAGCACCAUGACCCCCUAGAGGCAGUGCGAGAGAGCCUUUGUCCACCCUCCCAUUCUAGCAAUGAGGAAAGAGGGGAAGUGGCUGCUGUCAGAGCCAAGUCCAGAAGUAGGAACUUGUGGUGGAAGCCCACAAGGCUCACACAUGUCUCUCCAGAAUACUCGUUACAAAUCUGCUCAACAAUUGUCAUUUAUCUCUGCCUCCAUCUCUGCGUGGUGCCUGAUUCUCAGGAGGCCACUGAUUUGGCCCCAGUAGACAUUUAGCUGGGAAAGUCUCCCUGUUCCUCAGAUCUCUAGCCUCCACUGGGUACUGCUGCCCUUUGAUGUAGGAAGAUGGCAGGAUGCACCUGAGAUCAUCACAAGUCACAGGCUAGAGGAGUUUUCUGCUGUUUGUGCCUGUGUGUGUUUCAUAACUGAUCUUUUUCUUUGUCAUAUGUAAAAUAGGGUUAAUGAUUUCUAUCAUCAGGGUUGUUUCAAUAAUAAACACUAUAAUAAAAAGCACUUAUAAGCCAGAUGUGCAUAUAUAAUAGAGAUAGAAAUAGAGAUGUGUGAAUAUAAUAGAGAUGGAAAUAAAUUAUUUAUUAAAUGCUGAACGAAAAAUUUUGGGGUAGUUAUAACAGCAUUCAUUAUGCAGAUGAGGUAGCUAUACAGUUCUUUGAGAAAAUAACAAUAAUA